CAGCUCCAUUGUGAGCGCUGUGACCUUCGACACACAGCCCACGUGACACCAAGGCUCAGCUGAUCUCGCAGCUCCGGAGGAGCUAGAGCGGCGGCGGUGGCGGCGGCUGCUUGUUCCAGCCCAGCCUCAGAAAGCGAGAGGAGCUGCUGCUGCUGGAAGCUAGGCACCCUUUCUGCCGAGCUAGACACCACACAUAAGUGCUUUUGUAUUUAACCCCCCCCCCUUCAGCUUUUCAAUGUCCUCUGUGUCUCCUUUACCAGGGUAGGAGCAAAGCCAUUUUCUAACUAAAAAUAAUAAAAAUCUAAUGGACAUCCAUUAAUUUUAUACACUUUUGGUGCUAACCCCCCAUCCCCCUUCUUUGCGGUGUAAAUACCACCACUGAUUUAUUUGUAGGGAACAGCAAAGGAAAUUCCACGCACACACUGUAAACUGACUUUACCCUGGCUCUGAACUUUAAAUAACUUUCCAGCCCCAGGGAAUACAUUUGUUCUCCUCUUUGCUGCUAUAUAUCUUACUAUGGUUUCCAUUAUCAUUUGUGAAAUGUAUUACAUGUUAUCUACAUCAAUGUGCAGCUUCCAGAUCUUUGUAUGCCUCUCUUUCUUCUAGGAAUUGCACACAUAAAUUGCUGAAUAACUCUACUAGUAUUUUGUAGAUGGACACUAUGGAGAGAGAGCAUUCAAAUUGUCUAUAAUAAUAAUUAUUGUUGUUAUUAUUUAGUAAUGUAUUAUUAUAUAAUAUUUUUAAAGCUGAAAUAGUAGAUGUAUAUUUUAUAUUUUGACUGAUACUUUCUCAAGUGCUGUGGAAAUCUGAAUCUGUCUGAUUUAGUAUUUGUUCUUCCAUUAUGCAAUACAAUAAUAGGCCCUGAUCUUGCAAGCACUUAUUCACAUGCUUAACUUUACAUACUGUUAGUCCCAUAAGUAUUUGUAGGAUUGGGGCCUUAAUGUUUCUUUUGUAGAUACAGACAUUUUGUAAUAUGUAUACCUGAAUGAAAAUGAAAAAACUGAUAUCCGUGUAAUGUUAUGGUUGAGAGUUUACAUACACAAAAGUCAGAGAACUUUAGAUCUAGACCCCCAAGGUUUUCCAUUUAAAUAAGUGGAGGUUAGGAGACUAAAUACUUUGUGGAUUUAAGCCUUAGUGCUGUGAUUCCUACAGCAAAUAUAACUCGGCUCUUUUUCAUAUAUGUAGAAUUUUCUAUUAAUAUAUAUGGCAAUAUAUUUAUGCUUUAAAUAUAUGAACUAUGUAAUGUUGCUGUGGGAACACUAACCAUGAAUUUUGUGAGUAAUUUGUGUGUUUAAAAGCUCAUCUGUAACAUUCUAUUUAUGUACUUUUUGUAUGUCUUUACAAAAAAUACAAAACCGGAGUUUUUGUGCAUUUACUUGAGUUAGAUCCAAAUUAUGACACAUUGACACAAAUACACUGUUUGCUUGAACAUGUAAUUUUUAAAAUAAACACGAGUGAUUGUAUUUCAAUGAGCAUAUUCAGAUAUAUGAACACAGUUUGUGUUCAUCUGGAUUAUUGCACUGUGGGCUCAGCCCUGAUCCUAUCUGAAGUCGGUAGCAAAUCUUCCAACGACUUCAUUGUGUGAAGGAUCUGGCGCUUGAAACAGUAAAGAAAUGAUGUAUUGCAGCACAACUAUUUUAACUCAUUAAUACUUUUAUUUCUUAAUAUUUUUUCCAAUUUACUAAAGCAUAACUUUUCAAAUUAAAUUGGUUUAGAGUAAUAUGAGUAUGAAAAAAGUGCAGCCUAAAAAUUUCAUAAACAUGACAAACUUUAUCUGAAACUUGCUGGAUGGAAUUUUACCAAGCUUUCCCAGUAAGACCCAGUAUUUGGGUUAGUGAACUACCAGGAGAAAUGUCAACCAAAAUGGUUGAUGACAGGGCUUUCAGCAGAUUGGACUUCUGCUGGGAAGCAGCAGUGAAAAGACAGUUUUCAUUGGGAGUUACGAGAACCAUUUAUAGUUAUCAAGGUAAUUAAACAAUAGCAUAUUAUCUUUUAAAAAUUUCAUAUUGGUAUCUAUCUCUCUGUCUAGUGAUGGCUGGAUAGAUAGAUACCUAAAGGGCCUGAUCCUGCAGUUGAAGCCAAUCAGAGUUUUUCCUGAGUACUAAUUGCAGGAGUAGGUUUUAUAGGUUUAGAAUUACUUAGUUUUCCUUUCAAAAAGACAGUCUCAUUGUGUAGGCUUAAUUAAAUUCUUUAAUGUUACUCUAACAUACAUUUUUAUGUUUCUUAAUUUAAAAAAGAAAAAUUAAUGGGCUAAGAGUCUGUAUAUGACUGUUCACAUUAGCACAGCCUAUAAUGUAAAUAGGUAAGAAAAACAGCAUUAAGUUCCCAUUUUCCUUGUACUAUGGGCUGUCUUGUCAAGCUAUUGUAUAAACAGCGUUUGUGUCCUUAGGGCCCAGUCACCUUCCUAAUUAGGGGUGGGGGAAGCACCCAGUGACUGUAGGACCAGGCACUUAAAAUAUAAUGUAUUGUAUACAUACCAUACUAGGCUUCAAGAUAAUGCAUUCAUACUACUGGAAAAUAAAAAUUAGAAAUCUGCUCUGAUUUUUGAAGCAAUAUUUCUGUUUUGACACAUUGGCUGCAAAGUGAAAGUCACCAGAGUUAUGAUCUUUGAAGCCUGUGCAGACAGGGAUCUUGGUCAGUUUCCUUUUGCAAUAGUGAAAGACCACAGAAAGAAGAGGAGAGAAAAGAAGGCUAUCUGUGCAGCUGUGUCAUAUAAUAAUAGUAUAUAGUGACUGUUUUACACACAUAUGAAAGAGACUAUAUAAAAUGGAGGAGAGAGGAGAUAACAUAAAAUGGAGGAUAGGUCAGAAAUAUGAACAUAGAGUUACAGAGGAAAAGAGAUCACCGCUAUAAAAUAAAGGAUAACUACUGAAAGAAAGAUUUUGAAAUACACAUAAAUAGCACAAAAGCCUAUUACAGAAAUUCAUACUCUAGAGUUUUCUUUACAUUUACAACACUUUGAAAACUAAAUUAUAAUUAACAAUGUAUUUCCUUAAAUGCCUGAAAUUCAUGAAAAGCUUAUACAUUAGUUUAGUUUAUCUUCAUUGCAAAAAUCAUAUUUUUAAUUUAAUAUGCCCCAAUAUCUCAGUCUUUUGUCUUUUCAGAUAGGUGGUCAAGUUGAUUCACAAAUUUGUCAGGUUAAUGUAAGUGUUAUUUUGUUGCUCUCACAUAGCGUGUGUGUAUAUAUAUAUAUACUAAAAACUCUAUUGAUUGUAUUUUCCAAAAGAAAACUAACCUGAAUAUUAAAAACAGUACAAAGUAAAUACAUUAAGAUUAAAACAAUAAUUAAUGAGUCAUACUAACUGCCACAACCCAUUGUCUAUUUUUUCAGCUGUAAAGAAUUCAUUAAAACUCACAUUACAAUAAUAUUCAAAAUUGAAUGAUAAAUCAUUUAGCAUGCCUAGAAUAGUUAUUCAUGAAUUGUACGAAGUUGGACCAAAAUCAUAGGCUCUAGGUUUGCAUCUUGUCUUCUACGUAGUCUUCUCCAGUGGAAAAGAAGAUAUGAUAACCUAGGAAGAUAUCCUGCCAUCGAUAUUAUGCAAAACAAUUACUGACAUCAAUGAGAGUUUCAUCCACAGAUUGACUGAAUGGAAUUUUGCCAGGGGGUUCCUAAUAGCGCCCUUCUCAGUGACACUCAGAGAGCUAGACUUCUGGUUCUAAGCCCUUGAUGCACUUCAGCCAGGACAUCUGUAGAAGGAAAGAGGAGCUGCCAGUAGAGGCGACUGUGUUAUCAAAUGAGCUGUGCUGAAAUAAAGCCUCCUUCUUCUUCCCCCUCCAAGAACAGCCACACUGUAGACUCAAGCCACCAGCCUCCCCAGCACAUGCCAGAGGCAAGGAAGUCAAAAUAAAGGCCUUGUCCCCAGGCCAAGGAGGUACUUUGAGGAGGGAAGAGGGAGGAAAUAACCAGGGGACUGGUGAACAACAGGACUAGACAGGAGGAAGAGAGAAAUCCGGCACUGGAGCAAAGGAGCUGCCUAGAAGUCUGGCAGGAGGAAGCAGUGUGGGGUUGGGUGGGAGGAAGGAGCAUGACAUCUGAGGGAAGUAAGGAGAUUGGUAACAGAGGAGAGGAAGAGUCCAGAUGGGAGAAGGAGCACAGAGUUGGGAGGAGCCAGGAAGCAGUCACUAGUGCACCCAAGGUUGGUGUAUGGGACCUGGGGAAAGAGUUGGAAAGUGGGAUUGGGGUGGAGAUGGAGGAAAGAAUUAGUGUCUGGGAAGAGAUGCACUAAGCUGGAGGGGUCAAGCUAAGCUCAGAGGACAACAAACAUUUUGUGUGUGUGUAGUUGUGUGUUUUGUGCAAUCACAAAUUGGAGCAUGAUUUGGCAGGGAUGAUUGUUCUAAGGACUGUUUUAUGCUACGAACCAAUAUGCAUUGCUUCUGCUUUGGACCUGCUGCUCCUGAUCUUGUUGAAAUCAAUGGGAGUUUUGCAAUUGACUUCUUGGGAACAGGAUCCAUGUCUUUUAUGUUUACAAGAGACUCAAAAGUAGCAAAAAGUACAUUUGGUUCAUUUGUAGUUUUUUAUUAGUAAAGUAAAAAGUCUGUGAAAUUCAGACCUUUUAAUGUCCCUUCAGUUUAAAUAGUUUUUAGAGGUAAUUAUUUUAAGAACAAUUUCACAAGAUGUUACCCGAGGCAAAUCAUAUAAAAUUAAAACAAAGAGUCUGUCAAAUUCCAAGUCUGUAGGAAGUUUUAAAAUUUUUAGUCUUCUAGAAUUCCUGUGGUUCACGAUUUAUUUUUGAUAUAUGCCAGAAGGAAAUAUAAGGCACUGAAAUAUAUUUAGAAAUAAAUGUAAUUAAAUUGAAAUAAUAAUUGUAAUUAUUUGAAAGCAAGCACGAUUCAAUAUCGAUUUUAAAUGUCAUGUAAAUCAUAAUCAGAUUAACAUGAUUUAAAAAAAAUCUGAACUUUGUAAUAGAACAAAGCAUCUCUAUGUAUUUUUAAAUUAUGAAAUUUUGCAUUCACUUAAAGCUUAGAAUAGGAACAUGUUAUAAAAAUAAACAAGUAACAAAGACUAGAAGUUAGUGCAUCAUAGACUAUAUCUUCAGAUAUGGACAAAAGUAUAGUUACUAAUCACUGAGGAACAGCUGUACUAGUUAUUUGAUAAUUUCUUAAAAAAUAAUAUAUAGAUGAAAACUUCAAGAUUUAAAAAAAGACAUGUUUAAAAAGUUAUCAGUAUGUGCUAGUUAUUUUAAGUCUCAAAGAUGGUUUUAUGGUUAGAUACCUACAGUUUGCUCAUAUGAAUGAAUUAUGUUCUUUUCUUUGCUGCUCUGUCUGGUAUAUAGAAGUCUUGUUGUCAGAUGUGGGGCCAGAUAUUGUUCACCUUACAUGUGUAGGUAGUCUCUUAACUUUUAAAAGUUGGACUUUUUGUGUAAGACAAACAAGACUUGGCUAGGGAUUUCUGUGCUCUUUGUUAGGGCUUGAUCCUGCAAACACAUAUAUGAGUAGCUUUAUUCAGAUGACUAAUAUCAUGGAGCUCAAUUGGACUACCAAUCUGUGUAAAGUUACUCAAGUGCAUAAGUUAUUGCAAGAUUGCAUCCUUAAAAUGUCAGAAGAUUUGUGUGUGACUCAUACAUCUAUGCAAAGACAGUACUAAUUUGAACUGAAAAGAAAAAGUACUAAAGAGAAUGUUUGUGAUAGUUUAAUCAAUAAUGUACCUAUAAAUGUAUAUACAUUUUGAAAUACAUUUAUUUACAUGUACCUUGUAAUGAUUGUAUGUAGCUGCUAAAUUUUAUGUUUUAAAAUAGGAAUUAAGUAUUCAUUCUAAAAAUCCUUGCAAAUACUAGUUACUGUGCAUACUUGCAGCCAACCCAAUUUUUAGUUGCACAAGCAUAGUUCAGAACAGUAAUCAAUUUCCUCACUUGUAUGACAUAAAAAUGAACAAAACAUAUUUUGCAAAUGUCAAGUAGAGAAGAUUCUCCUGGGCUGAGUCCUGGUGUGCCAGCUUUAGUUAAAAAUGGGAUUUAUAAUGGAAAUGCUGACACAAUCCUCUAUCUAGACUACUAAACUCAGAUUUAAUGAACACCAGUCUAUGAUCUUCAUAUUAUUAAUGUCAGUCAGCAUACUUUACAUUUCAGGCAAAAAUUCUGCUUCCUUAUUUAUGCACAUAAUCCCAUUCAAGUCAAUAGAACUACCCACAUGAGCAGGGUGAGCAGGACUUGACAGAAAGUACAAAGGUGCCCUAAAUGCACUAUAAAACUCUUGAAUCUAGGACUCAAUCCUGCAACGUUUACUCACCUGAAUAAAUCUUAUUUAGGCAAAUAGUCCCAUUGACUUAUCUCAGAGGAAUAGGAUUGCAGGAUCAGGCCCCUAGAUUGAUUCUUCCCAUAAAUUUAUAUAUUUACAUGGGAAUGAAGGGCUCAAUCUUGUAACCCUCCCUGACAUGAGUACUUAUACUAGUGAAAAUUACUGAGUCAGGUUUCCAUGGCUGGGCUCCAAAACCUCUGUAAAUGUAACUAAAAUUAUUGAUAUUAUUAAAUGCUAAAAUAAUCAGUUCCUUUAUACAUCCCUCUUCCAUUGUUUUUCACUUAGGACAAACAGUAAGCAUUAUUGAAAUACACUUAAAAAUGCGGUGGUAUGUUUUAUAAUUAAGGGUCUACUUAGAUUAUAAUAUUGCAGAAAUUGCAGAUUCUGCAAUAUUAGACUUAGUUCCACCUCAGUUUUGACAGUAAGAGCCCUGCAACGUGCAUGGCUAACAGUGGGAGCCCCAGACACUCUGGGGCUGAGAGCGGGAGCCCCCGCUGUCAAUCUCAGGCGGCCGCUGUCAGCCCUGAGCCCCCGCUAUCAGCCCUGAGCAGCUGUCAGCAGGAGCCCUCACUCUCAGCUCCAGGCAGCUGACAAUGGGAAAGCCAGCUCUCAGCCAUGGGCGGCCAACAGCAGAAGCCCCCCGCUCUCUGCUCCAUGUUUCCCCUGUCAGCCCUGGACCCCUACUCUGAGCCCUGGGCAGCCGACAGCGGAAUACAGUAUCGUGGAAAAGUAAUAAUGGACUUUAUUACCACAAAUAAUAAGGUCCAUUAUUACUUUUCUGCAAUUUUCCACGGCUUGUCCACAGCUCAGCCACAAUUUUUUGACAAUCAUUCCUCAGUUCAAGUAGGGCCUUAUUUAUAAUAUAAUAACAGUUGAAGUCCCUGGGUGUUUUGCAUCACUAAAUAGUUUUAUGCAAGGAUAUCUGUAUAUAAGUGUAAUCUCACAUCCAUUCUCAGCACAAUUUAGCUAAAUUCAUGAUAUAUUAAGCCACAACUGGAGGAAGAGGAAAUGAGCAACUUUCCAAUUUAUGUAAUUUAAGAGAAAUAUGGGUUGGGGAGCAGGUUAAUAGCUUUUGGCUGUAUUAUAUAAAAAUACAUCUAUUGACUAGACAGCGAAACCCUGUUAAAAGUGGAAGAAGCCCCAAAACAUGAAUUUUUCAAUGCUUCUGUGGUUCUCUAUGGCCAUGUAGGACACAAGGGCUGGGUGUAUUUUUGUUGAAUAGGGCCCUUAGAUUUGUAGAAGAUCAUAAUUAUUAUUAUUUCCUGUAUUGGUUUUAUAUUAAUGGGUUGUUCCAUCUUAUAUUGUUUGGCUUGAGAUUUUAAGAAAUUUAAGCAAAUCAUGUAUUUAAAACAUAUAGAACAAAUUCAGAAAACAAGAGCUGUUUUAGGGUUGCUUACUUAUCUUUUUGGGAGUGGAAUGUUUUGAAUUGUACAAUUGAAUGGAUUAUUUUAAUUUGAAAAAAAGAUUAAAGAUUUCCAGGUGCAUAAACAGACACACACAUCUUCUCUGUAAAUGAGUUAGCAUAUUAUUUUUAUAUAUUGCAAAGAAAGCCAAGUAAAAUCUCUGAAAAUCUGGAAAUUCCGAAUACAUAAAGAAACCAAUAGUUAAAGCGAUGUAAAUGUUAUUACAAUAUUUCAAAUGCCAGUUAACUGUGUAAUGGCAAGAAUAGCCGGGCCAUAACGUUUAAGCCAUACGUGGUCAUAUUUUUUCAUGUUUUGUAUUUCCAAUGAGGUAAAGUUUCUCCUGGACAGAAGGUAUGUAGUGUAACAACCUGCAAUGUGAGAAAAAACCAGUUAAUUACAAUCCUUUUUAGUUAAUGUAAGGGAGUGUGGAAAAAGGAAACAAUGUUGGAUUAUGUUCUUUUGAAAAAAUUGUGUUAAACAUAAGUAUCCCAGAGUGUUAUCCCGAGGCGCCUACACAAUGAUCAUGGCUAUAUAUGCCCUUUUGUAUUUCAUUUUUCCUUUACUGAAGUUGAAUUUCAGGUAUGUAAACUGAGCACUCAGUUAUAAUAUAAUUCAAAUAGGAACCUCAGGAAAUUUAGAAUGGACUUCAUGUAAUGACAGAAAGACGGGGAGGGAGACUAAGGGGCCCCUCCUGCAGCUAUAGGGAGCUCCUGUGCCGUUGAGCAGGUUUGGUUCUACUGCACAAGGGAAGGAAGCUGGCUGGAUGCCAAGAGUCACACCAGGAUGUACAUCUCCUGCUUGUUAUGGAGAUGAUUGUGCAGGGUCUCUGCAUCACAGCAUGUAGGGGGAGAGUGGGAAAGCUGGGUUUGAGCCAUGUCAAGGAUUUGCUGCUCUGCAGAUCCUGCCAUUUUCCACCCCAUAGGAGGGCUGUGCCAAGGGCUGAAGAAUAUACUCUGCAGCCCUGGAGUUGCUUGGAUGGGAGGAUCCCUUUCCACAAAGCCUUGUACAUUUCAAUGCAUGUUGUGGCUACUUGAGUAAGGUGCUGAUGUCUGGAUUUUAGCCCAAAUGUAUUAAGCAGCGGAAAACUGAUAUUUCCUACUCUUAAGCAUUAAAGAAUCUUAAUAACCUU